rnacentral:rRNA from 1 species
AGUUUGAUCAUGGCUCAGAUUGAACGUUGGUAUGUUUACGACAUGCAAGUCGAACGCACGGAAGACUUCGGUCUGGUGGCGAGUGGCGAACGGGUGAGAAUGGUAUCGGAACGUGCCUAGUAGCGGAUAAUCAAGCGCGAGCAGAAGACAUCGCAGCGAUUGCCCCUUCGGGAAAGCGGGGACCUUCGGGCCUCGCACUAUUAGAGCGCUGAUAUCGGAUUAGUUGGUGGGGCAACGGCUCACCAAGGCGACGAUCCGUAGCUGGUUUGAGAGGGCGACCAGCCACACUGGGACCAGACACGGCCCAGACUCCUACGGGAGGCAGCAGUGGAAUUUUACCGCUAGGAAACCUGAUCCAGCCAUCCCGCGUGUGCGACAAAGGCCUUCGGGUUGUAAAGCGCUGGUAGAAGAACGCAUGGAGCACACCGCAAUCUGACGGUACUGCAGAAUAAGCACCGGCGAAUCGAUGCGGCCAGCAUGUACGGUGUUAAUCGGAAUUACUGGCAAAGCGUGCGGCGGUUCGGAAAGAAAGAUGUGAAAUCCUGAGCUUAACUUUGGAACUGCAUUUUUAACUACCGAGCUAGAGUGUGUCAGGAGGGAGGUGGAAUUCCAGCGCGGGUGUAGCAGUGAAAUGCGUGGAUAUGCGGAGGAACACCGAUGGCGGCAGCCUCUCCUGAUAACACUGACGCUCAUGCACGAAAGCGUGGGGAGCAAACAGAUGCAGAUACCCUGGUAGUCCACGCCCCUAAACGAUGUCAACUAGCUGUUGGGGCUUCGGCCUGCAGCGCAGCUAACGCGUGAAGUUGACCGCCUGUGAGUACGGUCGCAAGAUUGAAACUCAAAGGAAUGUUGGAUGGGGACCCGCACAGCGGUGGAUGAUGUGGAUUAACGAUGCAACGCGAAAACCUUACCUACCCUUGUGACAUGUCUGAAUCCCGAAGAGAUUUGGGAGUGCCCGCAAGAGAGUCCGGAACGCAGGUGCUGUAAUGGCUGGCCCGUCAGCCGUACUGAGAUGUUGGGUUAAGUCCCGCAACGAGCGCAACCCUUGUCAUUAGUUGCUUUAGUGGGCACUGACGAGGAUUGCCGGUGACAAACCGGAGGAAGGUGGGGAUGACGUCAAGUCCUCAUGGCCCUAUGUAGCUUCACACGUCAUACACGGUCAUGGGACAGAGGGUCGCCAACCCGCAGCGAGGGGGAGCCAAUCCCGCAGAAACCCUUGGAUCGUAGUCCGGAUCGCAGUCUGCAACUCGACUGCGUGAAGUCGGAAUCGCUAAUCGCGGAUCAGCAUGUCGCGGUGAAUACGCCUCGUCUGUACACACCGCCCGUCACACCAUGGGGAGUGGGUUUUACCAGAAGUAGUUAGCUCAACCGUAAGGAGGGCGAUUACCACGGCAGGGAUCAUGAUCAGGUGAAGUCGUAACAAGGUAA